AUGCCGGCGACGCCGACCAUCAUCGGUGCCCUGCUGGGGCUGGGCACCCAGAUGUACUCCAACGCCCUCCGGAAGCUCCCCUACAUGCGCCAUCCCUGGGAGCAUGUGCUGGGAAUGGGUCUGGGUGUUGUGUUUGUAAACCAACUGGUGAAGUUUGAUGAGAAGGUCAAGGUGGACCUUGACAAGAUGCUUGAGCGUGCGAAACACGCCAAUGAGCAGCGCUACUUUGGUUUGUGCUUAUUUGCUCCCAACAUUUUGGAAUCCUGA
rnacentral:rRNA from 1 species